rnacentral:tRNA from 1 species
GCUCCAGUGGUGGAAUCGGUUAGCGCGUGGUACUUAUAUGGCAGUAACAUACAGAGCGAUGCUGAGGUUGUGAGUUCGAGCCUCACCUGGAGUA